GGGAAAGUCAGGGAGAUUCAGAAGGCAAAAAUGAUUUAACAUGGUGUUUUUCACUUGAAGAUGGAGGGGCUAUAUAAGAAUGAAUAUGAAUGGCAGCUCAGUUGAUAGCUAGCCAACAAAAAAGACCUCAGUCCUACAACCUCAAGGACUGAAUUCUGCCAACACCUUGAAUGAGUUUGAAAGUGGAAUCUUCUCCAGAGCCUUCAGUGCUGCCCAUACACAAGGCGAGGGGAUUAUACAGGAUGUAUACCCCAGGAGGCAGACAGCUGAGAAUUCUACCUACCACCACAUGCACAUGGCUUUUGAAAGCUGUCCCCACCAUCCUCCGUCAAGCCAGUGCUGCAUCUACUGAAUGGAUUUAUUUCAACCUAUAUGUAGCCCACGAGCCACAACUGCUGAAGCCCAGAUGCCUCGAGCCUGUGCUUCGCAACAAGAGAAGCCACUGCAUGAGAAGCCCCCGCACUGCAACAAACAGUAGCCCCUGCUCUCCGCAACUAGAGAAAGCCCGCAUGCAGCAAUGAAAACCAGUGCAGCCAAAAAUAAAUAAAUAAGUAAAUAAAUAUUAAGA